rnacentral:rRNA from 1 species
GACGAAUGCUGGCGGCGUGCUUAACACAUGCGAGUCGAACGAUGAAACCUAGCUUGCUAGGUCGAUUAGUGGCGAACGGGUGAGUAACACGUGACUAACCUGCCCCUUUCUCUGGGAUAACGCUCCGAAAGGAGUGCUAAUACCGGAUACUCACACCGAGGCACAUGCCUUUGUGUGGAAAGCUUUUCGGAAAGGGAUGGAGUCGGAGCCUAUCUGCUGGUUGGUGAGGUAACGGCUCACCAAGGCGACGACGGGUAGCCGGCCUGAGAGGGCGACCGGCCACACUGGGACUGAGACACGGCCCAGACUCCUACGGGAGGCAGCAGUGGGGAAUAUUGCACAAUGGGCGCAAGCCUGAUGCAGCGACGCCGCGUGAGGGAUGAAGGUCUUCGGAUUGUAAACCUCUUUCAGUAGGGACGAAGCGAAAGUGACGGUACCUAAAGAAGAAGCACCGGCUAACUACGUGCCAGCAGCCGCAGUAA